GGGCCUCUAGCUCAAUGGCAGAGCAGCUGACUCUUAAUCAGCCGGUUCCCGGUUCGAGUCCGGGGGGGCUCACCA
rnacentral:tRNA from 1 species